GUCAGUGUGGUUUAGUGGUAUAACGCCUCGCUCACAACAACACUGUCAAGCAGUGCCAGAUGAUCCGAGUAGGUCCUGGGUUCGAUCCCCAGCAUUGACA
rnacentral:tRNA from 1 species